GGUCCAGGGAAGUUGAAAGGUGCCAUGGCAACAGCUGAAGGAUUUCUGGUGUUAAGCAAUUAAAACUUGGAUGGCGUGAAGGUGUGGAAUUGCCAAGAAGCAGGCAGUAGCUCUGUUUCUACAAAAGAAGCCACAGGAAAAGAGGCAGUCUAUGUAUUCUUAGGGACUCUUUCUGGCUGCAGGAAAGGUGAAGGAAAAGAGCUGGGCAUCCUCUACCGUGCUAUGGCCCUCCUGGAACCCUUGUGAGGUCUGGGAAGACUGCCAGGACAGUAGGGGAGAACAAAAGUUUCUGAGUACUUCGGGGACCAAACUUUCAACUCAUGGGCUUUUGGAGACAUUCAAGACUCAAGCCAUUAACAAAGAUCCAAGCUCUGUCUGGAUAGAAGACACUAUAAUUAAUAACCCCACAAGAGGCAAUGUCAGAUAUAUAAAGUAUGGUUCUGAAAGAAGAGUUGGACACUGAGCAAGAGGAAGAAGUGAUGCUGGGCCAAUAAGAGCAUUGUUCAUAAGUCUACAGAUAAAUUUCUACCUUUUGUCCUGGGAAAUACACUUGUUCAAAAACUUCUGUGUGCGUAUAGGCCUCAGUACAGAACUGAGGAAGUUCAUGCAAAUUCCUCACUCUGUCAUCAGUCCCCAAGCAACCAAAUUGCUGAGAUGAGGAGGGGCUAGAGCUAAUGUGUUGAGUGAACAAAUGAUGUGCUUCCUGGAGCUAAUUAUUUCUGAAGCUUGGUGUUGAGUUCAUUGCUGAGAUUUAGAUUCGUUAACCUUAUCUUAGCCUGGGGAACUUUCUCCACAGUAAUCCAGAUUUUAAAUGAGUUUACCUCCAGGCGAGUCACAUUAGCACACAUCCUUCCUGUUAUGGUGGCCUCACCCCAAGGAGCUAAUACAACUUAAUAGCAUGGUUUAGAAAAGGUGGAAGAUAUCCUAAGGAUGGGACCAACCUUUACUUUAUGAGCAUUUCAAUAAAGGUAUGGAGGAAUCCA